GUCAUUAAAAACAUAGCUUUUGUGAUUCUCACUGGUUUAUGAGAGGAUUUUAAGAGCGGGGGCUCGACAAGCACUUCACAGCCAAGCUACUCCCAUCCCUGUCACUUCUGCUGAAAUGGAUACGAAUUUUGAGCGUGCCAUCAAUGAUAUCAUGGCGCAGGAGGACGUGAAGGGCAUGUUGCUCAUAGAUUUGACUGGUCUGUGCAUCGCGGCUAAAGGUGUCGCAUCUGCGACGUGCAGCGGGUAUUUUCUUUCGCUGAUAAACGAGGCGUCGGAGCUUGGGUCGAGUGAAGCGCCGAUUGUCAAAAUAGAAAGCGAGAAAUAUCGAAUUUUUGUACAGAAGCAAGAAGACUUUAUUCUGGCUAUGUACAAGGCGGCUACCUAACGAGUCGACGUCUGGCUUCCAAAAAUGCGGUUCGCCUCGAUCGAGAGUUCCGAGGCGUUCUAUGUCGAAUCCCUGGUUUUGAAUGCAGAGGAAACUAUCCAUCCGCUCGACUGUGACAAAAGGAACAAAUCGCUUGCCAUUCACACGCGGCCAUCAGACACGUGCUACACACGAAAGCGAGCCCCAUUCUCCUAUGGUGAUUGAAGCACACCAUCCUGUGAUCGACUUCCAUCGGCUCCUUGAGCGAGAUUUGCCUACAGGGCUUUUCCGCGAUGAAAACGGAAGAAAGGUGCCUCACAAGGUCUGCCUCGCAGUCCGCAUGCAGGUACGCGCCCCCGGUGAUUUCCGCCACUUGCUGCAAAAGAGGCGAGCCCCGCGCACACAGGCGACUUUCGUUGUGUGCACCAGACGGUUUUGGGGGGAGUAUCAUGCAGACGUCAAUAACGGCUCCUUUUUUUUGAGCCGCAAAGGCGCAAUUCAUCACAGAGAUGUGUUGCUUCAGAUCGUCACCUGACAACCGAAUCACCAGUAUCCUGAGCCUCGAGGCGGAAGCCUGGCCGUCGUAGCGCCAGUCGUCUGCCUGACGGUCGGUGCCGGCGUCGACACCUCGGCCACCGGAGUUCGCGUCGGCGCUGUUCAGAAACAAGAGCGCACGGAUCAGCGACGAAGCGAGAUUGGUACUUCUUUGAUCUCCGACAACGAUAGAACGCAUGUAGACCUCGACGGCUUGGCAAACAUCGAUGAAGGUGCAUUGGUGGACGUUUUCCUGAAAGAAACCCCAGUCCUCUGGACCGACGAGACUCGGAUAGAUCAGUUCACUAAAAAAAAAAAAGUGUACCCGUUAGAAAAACACACACACGCACAACGGCACACACAUCGCGCGCGGACGACACCUAUCGUCCGAAAACGCACCAGCGCUCGCCGUCUCCGAAAAUGGCCACGCGGUUCUGCCUGCUCAAGUGCAGGUACUGGCUGACGAAGACCAAAACGUGUUCGAACAACGCUGGAAGUGUGAGUUUGGUGGGUGCGGAGUGAUCCGGAGAAGCGGAGGAAUCGGGCCGGCGUCCGUCGCACGCGAGCAAGUACUUGACCCAAGCACGAGGCGACGUUUCGACAAUAAUCGCAAGGUAUUUGUAGAGGCCAACUUGGCUCGACAUAAGGCCAGAAUUUUGUAUAUACAGAAAAAAAAAAAAGAUCAAAA